GCGGGUGUAGUUCAGAGGUAGAACAUCAGCUUCCCAAGCUGAGAACGCGGGUUCGAUUCCCGUCACCCGCUC
rnacentral:tRNA from 1 species